rnacentral:rRNA from 1 species
UGGGGAAUAUUGCACAAUGGGGGAAACCCUGAUGCAGCGACGCCGCGUGAGUGAAGAAGUAUUUCGGUAUGUAAAGCUCUAUCAGCAGGGAAGAGAAUGACGGUACCUGAGUAAGAAGCCCCGGCUAACUACGUGCCAGCAGCCGCGGUAAUACGUAGGGGGCAAGCGUUAUCCGGAUUUACUGGGUGUAAAGGGAGCGUAGACGGCGAAGAAAGUCUGAAGUGAAAGCCCGCGGCUCAACUGCGGAGGUGCUUUGGAAACUUUUUUGCUGGAGUACCGGAGAGGUAAGCGGAAUUCCUAGUGUAGCGGUGAAAUGCGUAGAUAUUAGGAGGAACACCAGUGGCGAAGGCGGCUUACUGGACGGUAACUGACGUUGAGGCUCGAAAGCGUGGGGAGCAAACAGG